rnacentral:lncRNA from 1 species
UUGAGGCGCUGGAUUGGUCCCACGGUGCGGAGUCGGUAGUAGCGGCAUCCCACGGACGUUCCGAGGCUUCUACUGUGACAGGUCCUGCACGGAAGGAUGUGGUGCUUGGUGAAGUCCUUAGGGGCUCAAGCGCAAUCAUCCGGAAGUGUGUUGUGGGCUGGUUUUCAUGGUCGAAGUCAAGGUGCGGUGGUGUGGGACGCACGCAACAAUGCGAUCAGUCGGUGUAGGCUUGUCCCACGGAAAUAUGUGCGCACCUCGGGAAAUAUGUUGCCUAUGAGACCCUUUUUGCCAUAGAAUGACGUGGUGUUAGGUGAUGCCCAGGGGGCUGAGCCUGUUCGUCGGAAGUGCGUUGUGGGAGGAUUUGGCAGUCGAAUAAAUUUUGACCCUUGAUCCCUAUCGGUUUUGGCGGUUACCUUUUCUCUUCGCGCCCGACGUAGCGGAUUCGGCGACACCAUGUGUUUCCAUUUGCUUGCUUGCCAUUGGCAUUGCGGGGAGUGGUCCGUGUGGUACCUUCGAGUCUGUCUAACGGGAGGGCGCGUGAGUGGCAAUUGGGAUGUUAGUGCUGUCUGGCUCCAUGAUCAUGGUCAUCGAACUUUCAGCACACAACCCUUCCCAUGUUCGCCUUGUGUCAUUUCGGCCCCGGCGUUCGAUUCUGGUUCUUGUGUUGCCUACCCGUUAAGUGGUAUUCAUGUGCCUCUCAUGACCCGUUCCAUCCAGGCCCCUUCUUGAGGUCGUUGGAGGAUUCGAAAGUGAUGCGUGUGAAGUGUUAGCUGUGAAUUGUGAUCGCAGUCCGACUCGAAAUUUUUGAUGUGUCCGUCUCACUUGUCGAGGUUCUGGUUUGGUGACUCGGUGACGGGUUGGGUAGUGGAGGGCGUUCUGAGGCUUCUAGUGUGACUGGUCCUGCACGGAAGGAUGUGGUGCUUGGUGAAGCCUUCAGGGGCACAGCCGCAGCACGAAGGGGCACAAGUCCAAUCAUCCGGAAGUGUGUCGUGGGCUGGUUCGCACGGUUGAAGUCGAGGUGCGGUCGUAUGUGACGCUAGCAACAAGGUGACUCGGUGGCUUGUCCCUCGGAAAUCUGUUGGUUGUUGAGGUGCUGGAUUGGUCCCACGGUGCGGAGUUGGUAGUUGCGGCAUCCCACGGACGCUCCGAGGCUUCUAGUGUGACAAGUCCUGCACGGAAGGAUGUGGUGCUUGGUGAAGCCCCUAGGGGUACAGCCGCUGCACGAAGGGGCGCAAGCCCAAUCAUCCGGAAGUGUGUCAAGGGCUGGUUCGCACGGUUGAAGUCAAGGUGCGUUCGUCUGUGACGCUAGCAACAAUGUGCCUCGGUUAGGCUUGUCCCUCGGAAAUGUGUUGGUUGUUGAGGUGAUGGAUUGGUCCCACGGUGCGGAGUUGGUAGUUGCGGCAUCCCACGAACGUUCCGAGGCUUCUAGUGUGACCAGUCCUGCACGGAAGGAUGUGGUGCUUGGUGAAGCCUUCAGGGGCAUAGCCGCAGCACGAAGGGGCGCAAGUCCAAUCAUCCGGAAGUGUGUCGUGGGCUCGUGUGCGCGCUUGAAGUCGAGGUGCGUCCCUCUGUGACGCUAGCAACAAUGUCCCUCGGUUAGGCUUGUCCCUCGGAAAUGUGUUGGCUGUUGAGGCGCUGGAUUGGUCCCACGGUGCGGAGUCGGUAGUAGCGGCAUCCCACGGACGUUCCGAGGCUUCUACUGUGACAGGUCCUGCACGGAAGGAUGUGGUGCUUGGUGAAGUCCUUAGGGGCUCAAGCGCAAUCAUCCGGAAGUGUGUUGUGGGCUGGUUUUCAUGGUCGAAGUCAAGGUGCGGUGGUGUGGGACGCACGCAACAAUGCGAUCAGUCGGUGUAGGCUUGUCCCACGGAAAUAUGUGCGCACCUCGGGAAAUGUGUGCGCACCUCGGGAAAUAUGUUGCCUGUGAGACCCUUUUCGCCAUGGAAGGACGUGGUGUUAGGUGAUGCCCUGAGGGCUGAGCCUGUUCGUCGGAAGUGCGUUGUGGGAGGAUUUGGCAGUCGGAUAAAUUUUGACCCUUUGUCCCUAUCGGUUUUGGCGGUUACCUUUUCUGUUCGCGCCCGACGUAGCGGAUCCGGCGGCACCAUGUGUUUCCAUUUGCUUGCUUGCCAUUGGCAUUGCGGGGAGUGGUCCGUGUGGUANUUAGUGCUGUCUGGCUCCAUGAUCAUGGUCAUCGAACUUUCAGCACACAAC